GUCACAGCUUCAGUGCAGAAUCUAUGGCCUACAUGGAGGACAGACUACAGGAUCAAGUGCCUCUUUUGCAUCUCAGCAGUAAGGAAAGGUUUGGAUAUGUAGGAAAGAUAGAGAGCAUGAUCUGACUUUAUUCCUAGUGAAUCUGAUGUAAAAUAUAAAUUUAGCAGACUAACUACUACAAGAGCAAAAUCAGAAGGGCCUCACCACACAAUGAAGUACAACUGUAAAGAAAAGUAAGAAAUGACAGCAUCUCACAUUCAAAAACAUUUCUCUUUAGAACUGUUUGCUUUCAAAUGGAAGGGCCCAGUAGUAUUUUCCAGCUGGGGACUUGGCCUGCCAUCACAUUUUUCCAUUGGGAUUUGGAGAUGACUCUACUGUAUCCUGUGAAGGCGGGAUGAAAACUGGCGUCUCCCUACUUCCUCUUAUGUCUGCUGAUGUACAUUUUCAAGACCUGGAAGACAGGAAUGAAAAAGUUCCUGCUGAGAUCCCCAAGCCAAAAGCUGUCAUACCAAAGAGCAGACUCGACCACUCUAUACUAUAAUUAAGAUAACGUACAUUCGUCAUCAACUGAACUCCACAACCUCAGAUCAGCACCACCAAGACACCACUGGAUCAAGGAGUGGUGAACCACUUCACUCUGCUGUGUUUGCAUAUUUCUCUGUCUGUCUGUCUGUUCGUCUGUCUCUCUUGCCCUGUUUCCUAUCUUUUCUCUUUAUCUGCUUUACUCUUUCA
ensembl:lncRNA